GGGGUUGUGGCUCAGUGGUAGAGCACGUACCUAGCAAAUACACAUGCGAGGCCCUGGGUUCGAUCCUCAGCACCACA
rnacentral:tRNA from 1 species